ensembl:lncRNA
UCUACUCUAGAUGUGACCAUCAAUGUUUGGAGCCGUUGCUCUCUGAUGCCCAGCGCUUGGACUCUAAUGAGCAGAUGGUCACCGUGGAGACGGCGUAUUCUGUUCCUAAUGUUAGGAAUCCUGCCUCCACGCCUCCAUCCAACUACGUAGCUGCCCUGCAGAUGCCCGUCUCAGCCACGAUGUACGCAGAUUCAAGAUCGUACAUUACCAUUGAAAUUGCUGUGGAAAAGAGACCACCGGAGGAGCUGGCCAAACGCGACCCGUCCCACUGGUGUGAUUAUGGAGCGUUUCACAUGCUGACCGCUGACCACCUGAAGGCAAAGGAGUGCUUUCAACAGGCCUUAUCCCUCCAGCAAACACACAUACCGAGGGGUGUUCAUAGUUCAUAG